rnacentral:rRNA from 1 species
UACAGAGGGUGCGAACGUUGCUCGGAUUUACUGGGCGUAAAGCGCGUGUAGGCGGACUCGCAAGUCGGUUGUGAAAUCCCUGGGCUCAACCUAGGAACUGCAUCCGAAACUGCUUGUCUUGAGUAAUGGAGAGGGUGGCGGAAUUCCCGGUGUAGAGGUGAAAUUCGUAGAUAUCGGGAGGAACAUCAGUGGCGAAGGCGGCCACCUGGACAUUUACUGACGCUGAGACGCGAAAGCGUGGGGAGCAAACAGGAUUAGAUACCCCCGUA